CGUCUAGAUCAGUCGGUAGAGCUUGAGCCUCUUAAUCUCAUGGUCGUAGGUUCGAGUUCUACGUCG
rnacentral:tRNA from 1 species